rnacentral:tRNA from 1 species
GCCCUAGUAGCUUAACUCAUAAAGCGCCGGUCUUGUAAAUCGGAGAUCGGAGGUUAAAAUCCUCCCUAAGGCC